UUUCUCCUAUUAUUAGUAUGUGUCCUACCACACUGGCCUUCAUUCUACUCUCCAGAUAAGCCAAGUGCAUUCUCAUUUAGGGCCUCUGCUGUUGCUGUCUACUCUGUCUGGAACACUUUUCACCAUGGUAGAGCUCCCCAUGGUGCCCAGGCCAACUUCUUGUCACCUCAGAAGGUCUUCCCUGCCCAACCAUUCCAAAAUUGACCUCUAUUCAAUAAUAUUUUCUUAAUUGCACUUUACACCAUGUAAAAGUAUGUAGUUGAUUUAUAAUGUUUACUUAUUUCUGUCUCCUCUCUUAUAUCAGAUUAGUACCUCAGUUGAGAAUAGUGAUUUAAUCUGCUUAUUUAUGGCUCUAUCUCUUGUGCCUGAAACAGUGCAUUUAUAUAACAGAUGCUCAAUAAAUGUGUUAAAUGCAUGAUAAGUAAACUUUUUAAAUUUAAUUCCUUUAUUAAUUUCAGAUAUUUAACAUGUCUCAAUGGUGAGAAGAAAGGUUAAUAACAGCAAAUUGUAUUUACUUUCUCCGUGUCAAUAUAUAUUUUGAGUGAGGCUGUAUAAUUCAUCUACAACUGGAUAACAAAAAAACUUUAAAUGUAUUGACUUAAAGCAACAAUGAUUUGUUAUUCAUUAUGAUUCUGUGAGUUGGAUGAAGUCAGCUCAGUAGUUCCGCUCUAUGAGAGACAUUAUUCUAAACCUUCAGUGUUCUCCUUUAACUCC
rnacentral:lncRNA from 1 species